AACCAGUUAAAUUGUGGCAGCCCUGUAGUUCCUGACUUUGGUGGUUUGAGUUCUCAUGGGAAUUUAGAAUGGGUUUUGAUCUUUUAUUUAUGAGAUACCUGCCAUUGCUGCUUUAUUCCUUGUAUUUUUUCCUGAAUUGACCUUUCAUUUUUGAACAGAAAGCCACUUGGUGUACAGAGCUGCAAAAAAAUUUAGAUACUAUUACAAUUGGGACAGAAGUUGCAAAAGAAAGCCAGAAUUCUUUCAUCCCGGCCGUGUUGAUUACAAGAACUAACAAGGAGUACAAGGAGCUCUGCAGUGUCCAUCUCCCUACUCCUCCUCCUCUCCACCAGGCAGUCACUCCC
rnacentral:lncRNA from 1 species